UAUUUGUAAACGACUAAACUUAUAUUAAACACUUUUAAACAAGUUUAGUUACAAGUUUAUGUUAUGUGUUGAUGUAACUACAAUAAAAAGAGUAUUAACAUUUUAGUAAAAUGUCAUAUCACCGGGCUGUUUGGUUGGAAGAAAAUCGUGAGGAAGAAGGAGUCUUGCCAUCCGCAUGGGUGCGGGGAAAGAUAGUUAUGUGGCCCCCAUCCAAAAUGAAUGCGUUUAAAUUAAUGAAAGAAGGAGUAGAACCUAAUGAAAAUUGGCGACUUUUUCAACUAAUAAAAAUAAAAAUUACUUCAGAUUGCUACGAGGAUUGUAAUAAUUAUGAUUUAACUACAGAAACUGAAGAAGAUAAUCAGCAAGUUUCAAAAAAACUGAAAGCGUACUGCUUGUACAACUUUUUUUGAAGGCGAGGAAGAAGUUGAUGUUGAUAUUAAUACAGAAAGUAAGAAUAUAUAUUUUUUAUGUUAAUUCACCUCCCUAAAGGCUGAGAUGACCACUACAAUCGAAGAGGCUACUUGUAGUUUCAAGCCUCUCUCAACUUCAUAACUCUGAAACACAAGCCUUGACGAACAAGGCUGCUGCGUGAAGAAACAAGUUCAUUAAUUAGUAAUUUUAUGAAGAGUAGAGCAGGAGCUAAUAAUAGCCUACAUAAUAAUAGUAAUAAUAGUGUUAUGUGUAUGUAUUUUGUAAUAAAACA
rnacentral:lncRNA from 1 species